GCUCAUCUGGGAGCUAUUCAUUUCCUGCCAGAAAGCAGCCGGGCCUGCUGAGCGAGCCACCUUGGCCGCAGGGCCGCCGGGGCUGGCCGGUGUGGCCGCCCUGGGCCGCUCCCGCCCGGCCGCGGUCCCCGAGGCCUCCCAGGAACCCCGAGCCACCCGGGGCGGGCGGGCUCGCGGCGGGGGCACUUCGCCCGCCCAUCUGGUUGCACUUAGGAGCCCGGAGGAAGCUAGCGGCGGGUUGUUACCGGCCAAAGGGGGUCGAGGCUGAAGGUAUUGGAAAGAGCCGACUGCUGUCUGCUAGGUCACCCCUGUGGUAGAGCCGCACUCCACACUGGCCUGUGGGAAAGGCUGGAGCCAGGCGGGGGAGAGGGCUCGUGGUUUUCAUUUUCCCAACACCUGGAUGCAGUCAAACACCUGGCCAAAUCUGACAAAAUCUGACAAGCCUUUGUGAUGGGAUUUGGAAGAAAUUCCCUGCAGAUCCUGGCACAGUUUAAAGCUGUCCGCUUUGAGUUAGGACUUGUUAAGGAGGGUUGUGUGAGCUGAAACCCGAGACAACCCUUUUGCUUCUAUCUGGAGCCCACAUCUUGCCUGGAAAUGGGGCAUGACCAAGCGAAGGGGUCGCUUGCUGUUUGUAUUAAAAGGGGAAAACGGCCUGUGUGCCUGCCAGCGCGGCCCCCACAUGCUUUCUCCAUUAAAGUCAAGCACAGAAA